rnacentral:rRNA from 1 species
UACGUAGGGGGCCAGCGUUUGUCCGGAUUCAUUGGGCGUAAAGCGCGUGUAGGCGGCCAGGUAGGUCCGAUGUGAAAUCUGGAGGCUCAACCUCCAGCGGUCAUUGGAAACCAUCUGGCUAGAGUCCGGAAGAGGAGAGUGGAAUUCCUGGUGUAGCGGUGAAAUGCGCAGAGUAUCAGGAGGAACACCGGUGGCGAAGGCGGUCUCUGGGCAUGAUCUGACGCUGAGGAGCGAAAGUGUGGGGAGCGAACAGG